rnacentral:rRNA from 1 species
GUCGAACGGAAACCUUCGGGUUUUAGUGGCGAACGGGUGAGUAACACGUAAGCAACCUACCCUAAAGACGAGGAUAACCAUUGGAAACAGUGGCUAAGACUGGAUAGGAAGAUAAAAGGCAUCUUGUAUCUUUUAAAAGACCUAGUUAAUAGGUAUGCUUUAGGAGGGGCUUGCGCCAUAUUAGUUAGUUGGUAGGGUAAUGGCCUACCAAGACGAUGAUGUGUAGCUGGACUGAGAGGUUGAACAGCCACAUUGGGACUGAGACACGGCCCAAACUCCUACGGGAGGCAGCAGUAGGGAAUUUUCGGCAAUGGAGGAAACUCUGACCGAGCAACGCCGCGUGAAUGACGAAGUACUUCGGUAUGUAAAGUUCUUUUAUCGAGGAAGAAAAGCAAAUGGCGAACCAUUUGUUUGCCGGUACUUGAUGAAUAAGCCCCGGCUAAUUAUGUGCCAGCAGCCGCGGUAAGACAUAAGGGGCAAGUGUUAUCCGGAAUUAUUGGGCGUAAAGGGUGCGUAGGCGGUCUAGUAAGUCAGUGGUGUAAUGGCAACGCUUAACGUUGUCCGGCUAUUGAAACUGCUAAACUUGAGUUAGAUAGAGGCGAGUGGAAUUCCAUGUGUAGCGGUAAAAUGCGUAAAUAUAUGGAGGAACACCAGAGGCGUAGGCGGCUCGCUGGGUCUUAACUGACGCUGAGGCACGAAAGCGUGGGGAGCAAACAGGAUUAGAUACCCUGGUAGUCCACGCCGUAAACGAUGAGUACUAAGUGUCGGGUUAAACCGGUACUGAAGUUAACACAUUAAGUACUCCGCCUGAGUAGUACGUACGCAAGUAUGAAACUUAAAGGAAUUGACGGGACUCCGCACAAGCGGUGGAUCAUGUUGUUUAAUUCGAAGAUACCCGAAAAACCUUACCAGGUCUUGACAUGUUUUUGCAAAAUGAUAGUAAUAUCGUGGAGGUUACCAGAAACACAGGUGGUGCAUGGUUGUCGUCAGCUCGUGUCGUGAGAUGUUAGGUUAAGUCCUAAAACGAGCGAAACCCUUAUCGUUAGUUGCCAGCACGUUAUGGUGGGGACUUUAACGAGACUGCCAAUGAUAAAUUGGAGGAAGGUGAGGAUCACGUCAAAUCAGCAUGCCCCUUAUGACCUGGGCUACAAACGUGAUACAAUGGCUGUUACAAAGGGUAGCUGAAACGCAAGUUCUUGGCCAAUCCCCAAAAACAGUCCCAGUCCGGAUUGAAGUCUGCAACUCGACUUCAUGAAGUUGGAAUCGCUAGUAAUCGCGAAUCAGCAUGUCGCGGUGAAUACGUUCUCGGGGUUUGUACACACCGCCCGUCAAACCACGAAAGUUGGCAAUACCCCAAAACGGUAGCCUAACUCGUUUAUUCGAGAGGGCGCCGUCUAAGGUAGGGUCGAUGAUUGGGGUUAAGUCGUAACAAGGUAUCCCUACCGGAAGGUGGGGAUGGAUCACCUCCUUU